UACAAGCAACACUAGCAGCGACCCACUAAACCCUCUCAAAGCCCUAAAAUUUGGUGUUUUUUGUUUUCGUCUCUGAGAUUGGAUUCCGAUUGACACACAAAUGGCGUGGCGAUCUGGAUCUCUGUCUCGCUCUUUGAUGUCUUCAGCUAGGGCUUCACUCCGCCCGGCGGCACCCACUCCCCUUCCCCGCAUCCGUCCGCCGUCACUCAACGCACCUCGCAUCCAGUCCCGCCGCUUUUCCAUGCCUGCUUCCAUGAACAUGGGGCAAUUGGGUUGCGUACAAUCACUUUUACCUCUGCAUAGUGCGAUGGCUUUAACAUGUCUGACGUCACACAUUACUGUCAGUGCACGAGCUUGUUGCGAGCUGUCCCAUGGUAGGAAUGGAAAAGAUGGGUGAUGCGCAUGGACAUCGAUCCUCCAAUGGCAAGAGAAGAAUGCUGCAUAGUGAUCCUGACUCCUGAGGUACGUGAGGAAGCUGUUGGAUUUGCUUAGCUGCCUUCAAGAAUAUGGAGGACCAAUAAUUAUGGGGAGUUUUAUCUGCGAAGUAAUGGUUGUAGGAAUCUUGAAUGAGACUCUCAUUUGUUAUUCUAUUUUUAAUUUGGCUAUUUCUUAUUCAGGAGAGAAGAAUCUCUUUGUUCUUUCGAAAUCACAACAGCAGUCAAGAGUAGUUCUUGAUUCUUGUUCUAUCUGGUUUUUGGUUAAAUGCUGUACAUUUGACGUGUUUCUUUCAACUAUUUGGGAAUAAUACUGUUUUCCAUCGAAUGCUUCGAGGGAUGUUUAUUGAAGUUGGGGAAGAAACCAGACUAGUGGAGGAUUGAUAUUGUUAGAAA